GCCUGGGUGGUUCAGUCGGUAAAGCAUCCGACUUCUGCUCAGGUCAUGAUCUUGCAGUUUGUGAGUUCAAGCCUCGCCUUGGGCU
rnacentral:tRNA from 1 species